rnacentral:rRNA from 1 species
GACGAACGCUGGCGGCGUGCUUAACACAUGCAAGUCGAACGAUGAAGAAAAGAAUCGAAGCUUCGGCAGAAAUUCAUUUCGGAUUAGUGGCAGACGGGUGAGUAACGCGUGAGCAUCCUACCUCUUACAAAGGGAUAGCCUCGGGAAACCGGGAUUAAUACCAUAUAACAUUGCGACGAAGCAUUUCGAUGCAAUCAAAGCUACGGCGGUAAGAGAUGGGCUCGCGUCCCAUUAACCGGAUGGUGAGGUAACGGCUCACCAUAGUGACGAUGGGUAACCGGCCUGAGAGGGUGAACGGUCACACUGGAACUGAGACACGGUCCAGACUCCUACGGGAGGCAGCAGUGGGGAAUAUUGCACAAUGGAGGGAACUCUGAUGCAGCGACGCCGCGUGAGUGAUGAAGGAAUUCGUUUCGUAAAACUCUGUUCUAUGGGAAGAAAAGGACUGUACCAUAGGAGAAAGCUCCGGCUAAAUACGUG